rnacentral:lncRNA from 1 species
CAACAACGGUUUUAGAUGCCACCAGUCAUUUCCAGAAAUUGAUAAUUAGUUGGACAGCUGAACCUUUCAGAAGUUGUUCUCUCAAGGUACUUGAGCGUGCCGCGUCCAUGGCUUCCUUCAUUAACUUCCUCUCCUCAGGAUCCAAAACAUUAACAGGCUUUUUGCUAGCAGGUGGAGGCUUCAUCCAUUUCCAACAACCCUCAGCUUCCUGAUCAAGUAAGCGUAUCCACAGGUACAUGGAAGAGAUUAAAAAUAAGGUAAAAGAAAAAAUUAAUAUCUGAUCAGUGAUCACACCGUCCGAAUGCUAAAAUUGAACUUACAUCAAAAUCCCAUGAUGGAGUUUCGAUUCUCUCAAACAGGUCUAUUGCUUGCGCAAGCUCUGGAACGUGAGGCAAAGGUCUUGGACGAUCUCCAUGUUCGUCACUGCAGUAUUAAAACACACAACGUUAGACCCAAACAGUAAAACAUAAAAAGAAGGCGCUUCAAACCUGGUCCAUGGAGCUGGAUCGUUAUCACAUCUAACGAAGAGGUAACGGCAGACCUUAAAUUUUCCCUAUGGAAAACAAAAGAAUAGGUUAGGAAAAAUAAUCAAAACCUCUGCACAGACGGAACAGGUGAAAAAAUUGUGUUUGUGGUAAUUAAGGUGUAUGCAUACCUGCACACUAACUUUACGCCAGCACUUUUCGACCCUGUAAAUACCAUCAUAUCUCACUCCUUCCUCAGGGGCAUAUGCAGCAAUUUUUUCUUUGUAAGUCCUGGUUAUGAAAAUUAAAAAAGUUCUAGUCAGAGUUUAUCUAGGGAGAAAAAUGAGAGUGUGAGAAAAGCGUUGAGGUAAUGGAAUAACACUCUAAUAACAGCUAACCUGACAACGCGAACAGGAUAACCCAUUCUGCAACUAAGCCUUAAAGCUUCAUUUCCAUUUGUAAAUUUCUGAUCAAAAGACUGUUGUUUGUUAGUCCUUCUGUUGCCGCUGAGGUCUCUUCCUCCACUGUGACACGUCCGCACAUUAUCAAGACAAUGAAGUAAGUCAGCUACCAAUAAACCAGUACUAAUCAAAUGUACCAAAAGCAAAGAGUAAUGAAGAAAUAUGAAUAAACCUUCCAGUGUAGAGAAACCAUUCUCCAUGAUCCUCGUCGUCGUCAUAACCAACAGAGAUUGCAACGGACUGAGCUCCAUGUUUCGAUUGUCCAGCAAUCCCAGCAACAUGGACAACGUGAGCACCCCACUGCUUACAAGCCAACCUACUCUUCCAGGAUUCACCAACUAAGACACCUUGGUUUCUGACAGGGUCAUUUUCCGCCGGAAUAGGACCGAAAUGAUCACCGGGUACUGUAACAUAUAUCUUGCCACUUGCAGCAUUUGCUAUGCCGCCUAUUAUGGCGCGCUCAGUCGUAAAUGCUUCAUCUGGUCGGCUUUCAUUGCUGACAUAAUGGUAAACGUUUGAAGUACUCGCAGCAGCAGCGGCACCAGAAGCUCUCGAAACUUUGGCCAGACGGAUAGCAGACACAAGGGAAGCGUUGAUACGAGGAUUCGCUGCCACAUCGUUAGGAACUACAAAGCGGCAUUUUAUACACUCUCGCUUCCCUUGCUCAGUCCACUUCACAAAGCAUUUCAAACAGAAAUUGUGCCCGCAUGGCGUCUGAAAAAAUAAUUACACAUACACGAGCAAAUACUUAAUGGUUUAUUGAAUGAAGAGAACUUUAUAGUGACAAAAUAAAAGAAACAAGUAUAGAUUAACCAUCAACAAACACUUAUUAACAGUGUAGUGGUUGAAAUUGAAGUUUCAUAAUAUAUAAAUUUAUGUGAACACUCACUUAUUGACCUAGUUUAUCAUUAAUGACCUUGCAAACGUAUAAUUAAAUAUGUUUCAAACACUAAAAUAAACUCGAGACUCAAACAUAUUCACCAGGCUAACACUAGAUUCUUUCACUAAAUUAUCAAGCACAAGAGGCAAAUCAAUGUACCAAUCUUCAACAUAAGUGUACACAAACAAUUAUUAACAUAUUGUUGAAAUGGCAGCAUAAGAGGCAAAUCAAUCUACUAAUAAACACAGAAUCUAUGAUAUAAUCAAGUGACAACAAUCUUAUCAAAUAAAAUUUCAGCAUUUAAGGGGAAACCUAAAUCAAAUUGACUUUGUAUUUUCAAAUAUUUAUCAAUGAAAUUUGUUUGUUUGCAGUAAAAACAAACCCUAAAUUAGAUUCUAGGUAUUUCAAAAAUUUAACAUGCAUAAGAGGGCAAAUCAAUCUUCUAAUAUCAGCAUCGAGAGAGAGAUCAUUCAACAGGCUAACACUACACCAACAUGUACAAGAGACAAAUCAUUAUUCUGAUAUCAAAGCAUGAUCAUACCGUCACGGGCCUUUCAAGCAACUGAAGACAGAAAGAGCAUUUCAAGUUUUCACCAAGAGCGGCCAAGAUAUCAGCAUCAAGACCCAUAGAGGAGCUCUUCUUCUUCUCUUCUUCUUCCUCAUCAUCAUCCUCCAUGACGGCUUUACCGCUCAGAAGCUGCUGCCUCUUCUUAGCCUUAUCCUCGUCCGUCAAAGUCACGUCGGACUCGAUCGCACGAAUGGCCGCCACGAGAUCUGAUCCUUCACCGGGUUGGGGGACAGGAUCGAAAUCUCCGGAGCAGUCAGGGCACUCCCACUGAAGAGUGGAGGCAAGGGACUCAGGAGGGGAGGAGAGGCAGGGCACGUGCCAUGGAGUUCCACAGGUGAGGCACGUGAGAGAUUCCUCGGUAGGAGGAAUCUUCUUGCACUGCAUGCAUGCUCCUUCGCCGUCGGAAGCCAUCUCGAGGAUUUGAUAGGAAGAUAGAGAGAGAAGAAGUGUUGUGUUGCGAGAAUCUAGGUACUGACGAAGAGAUAUAUAUACAUGUGGAGAGUGUAUAUUGGGGGAGUUUAGAGGGACACGAGAAGUGUAAUGGUGGUUUUUUAAUUUAUUUGAACUUCAAACGUUGCCAGAUGUUAAAAUCUUUUUAAAAAGAAAUAAUCUACAAUUUGACCAAGAAAAAGAGAAAUAAUCUACAAAAAAUGGCAUAGAAUCGAAAUUUAGUCACACCAAAUCUUCAGUGACAAAAAAAAGUCACACCAAAUCUAAUCCAAUAUAUUAUUUUCAGAUUUUUUUUUAAAUUAUACAACAGUAUUAUGGCCCCUACCAAAGUGGAUGCAUGUUAACCACGUGUUACCAGUUUACGUUUUCGACUCUUGUGUUACCAGCCUAUAGUUUUGGCCCACGUGUCGAUUUUCUAUCUUUAGUGAUGCCAAAAUUUUAAUUUUCCGGUGAUCCGGACUCGAAUCCAAAUGGCUUCACUGUAUUGGGUUUUGCCUUCAAAUUAAUCACCACUGGACCAUGUAUCAAUUUUUUUUCCAAUUUUUCUAAAUUAUGUUUUUAUGACGAGAUGUAACAACAUUAGGGUAAAAUUAUCUUGGAGCGGAUAUGUUUUGAUGAAACUCUAUUUGAGAAUUUUCAUCAAAAAGUUAGCUUAUACUUAUCAAAGUAAUAUUAGCAGUUGAUAAAAUCACACCAAGGAAUUUUGUUAUAUUCAUUGAGGAACUGAAAACCAGAAUUGAUUUUGUCCAGGAUGAUGAACAUGUGUAUUGAGUAGUCGGAAGAUUGGAGAAGACAAUUGAUCUUAACUUUUAGAGAAAAAAAUUAUUUUCUAUAAACAAAAAAUAUAGUCGAAUGGAUACUUUUAGCAAAAUCAUCAGAACAUGAGAUUCAAAAGCUUUAUUCGACAUCAACCGGGGUGAAAUCCACCAAGACUUAUCAAAUUAGUGAGAAAUUUUUUUACCACUUAGAGCUUUGAUCUGCGACUAAACAAAAUGAAUAUAUAUUUUCUUAUCUCUAAAAAGGAUAAGCCUAGAGAGAUGAUUAAAUCUAGACAUAUUAUCUUAUGCAAUAUGAGUUACAAGAUUAUAUCUUCGUAACUUUGAUAGAAGGAAUGCCUCCUCAUAAAAGGGAUCGCAGUGACCGGGCAUGAGCAACUACUAUGCAAGAGAUUCAAGAGAGUUACCCUGAGCUUAAUCUUAAAGACACAAUCUGCUUUUGUGGCAAGAUGUUUAGUCACAUAUAAUAUAAUAGAAAGGCAAGAAAAGUUUCAUGCUCUCAGCACUAACCCAAAAUGUAUGGAAUAAUUUAUGACUAUCAAAAUAGACAUGAGCAAAACCUAUGACAUAGUGGAAUCAGGUUUAAUCGAAGCAUUGAUGUUAAAGAUAGGUUUCACGGAGAGAUGAGCUAAUCUUCGUAUGUGCUGUGUCACAUUAGUUACCUGCCAAGUUAUUGUAUAUAGAGAACCAAGAGGGCGCAUAUAACCGAGGAGGGGCCUAAGGCAAAGAAAUUGCUUAUCUCCCUUCUUGUUUAUAUAUAUUGUAUAGGGUACUAAUCUCCCUCCUGAAUGGCGUGGAAGUAUAAAAGCGGAUUUUGGGACUUCGCUCUGCUAAGGCGAGUCCUCAAACUUCACAUUUCUUAUUCACAUAUGAUAAUUUUUGCCUCUUAUUUAUUAUCGAUCCAUAAGUCUCUUAGUCUCAUCUUAUUUUCAUAUCCCACUCUUGUUUAUUAAAAAUUUCUAAAUAUUCCCUUGACCACAUGGCACAUGCUCAUCCUUCGUAUAAGUCAUUUACAUACAACUCCUUUGACUCGUUGUGACAACACUCUAGUAUAUAUGAUGAAGAUUAUAUACACAUUUUGGAAAUAUUUCUUCUCCAAUGUUAGAAGUAGUACGAAGCGUGGUCAAAUUGAGAAAAUCAAGGAAGUUUACACAUAUGAUAGGAUUAUUGAGAGUACAUGUCAGUUGUGUAAAAUACAAAUUUGGGAAAGGUUCACUGUAUGAAAAUCAAAUCAACCCGACCAAAUGAUUAUAUGUUAUAUACAACUCGGGUUUUUAUAGAGCCUUCACUACUCUCUGGCUCAACCUAAUACAUCAUCAUCGACUCAAGGUAUGAUCUUCUAUUCUAUCUCCAGUUACAUGUUGUUCAUAACGCUUUUCUAGAAGUAGUCACAAUCGCAUUUAUGUGACUUUUAAUCUGAGCACUUAAAGAUAAAAUGGAAAAAUACGAUGUCAUGUGAAUACGAUGCUCUUGAAAAGAAUGGGACUUGAUUCAUUAUGGAUUUUCCACCGGUAAAGAAGCCAAUUGAGUGUCACUGAAUUUUUACAAUCAUAAAUAAAUCGAAUGGUGAUCAGGUUGAACAAUAUAAACUAAGAUUAGUUGCAUAUGAAAAUAAACAAGAAGAAAGUGUCAGUUAUGAAAAAACGUUUACUACAGUUGUGAAAAUGACGAUUGUGUGAACAUUUCUCAAAGUUGUAGCUGUAAAACAAUGGAAAAUUCACUAGAUGGAUGUUGAUAAUGCAUUUAUGUCAUGGUGAUCUACUGAUCUACAACAAAAAGUUUAUAUGAAGUUGUCUUCAGGAUGUGCAUCAAAUGGUUAGAAAAAACUAUAAACUCAAGAAUCCAUCAUAUGUAUUACGUCAAGCACCUUGUUACUGGAUUUUUGUGCUUACUGAGACUUUGAGAGGGUAUUUUUAUAUUCUAUAAGAAUUUAGACUAUUCAUUUUUUACAUUAACAACUGGGGCACUGCAUAUACAUUCUUAUUUAAAUGAUCCUAAAGCUAUUUAAAAGUUUAAAUGAUAUCUUAGUAAAUGCUUCCAUUUGAAAGGUUUAGGUAUGUUGAAAUAUUUUCUUCGAAUUUAAGUAGUUCAAUCACCUCAGGGUAUAUAUUUGUUUAAGAAAAAAUGUUUCUUGACAUUGCUGUGGGUGUUGUUGCUGGGAACUAAGCGAGUAGCUACACACACACCAAUGAAAAAUAAUAAUAAGUUAGCUAUAGUUAGGGAUAUUUUGUUAAUGAUAUCGAAGGUUAUAGGAUACUUUUUGAAAGGAUCAGUUUACUUUACAUAUGCAUGAUCAUUGUUUUCCUAAGAUGUGAAUAUCCUGGCUCAAAUUGUGCAACAUUAACGUAAAAGCAUUGGAGUUCAGCUAUACUCGAUCGAAUGGUUUGGUAUCUUGAAGGAUCUCCGAGUUAUGUUAAAGGCAAUGUCAAAUGCAGACUCAAACUUAUAAUUCGCGACUUUUUGUGAUUUGGAGCUGACAUUGUGUCCUAUAUGAUCUCUCAAACUCUCACAUGUUAUGUUGUCAUGUUUUUUUUAUAUGUUGUCAUGUUAGGUUAUUCUACUGCAUGUAUGACUAAGAUGUCUUUGAUAUUUAUUGUUUGACAAGGAAAAGAAGUGUGCACUUACUUUAGUGUUUAUUACGAAAUAGCUAUCUUAAAGUGCCAACCAAAGUGGUAAUGAAUUUUAGAAAAACAGUCGAAAUGUAUAUUAUGUUAAAACAAUCAAAGGUUUAAUAAAGAGCCUACUUACCGAUCAAAGGUAAGUUUUACAAACAUACCAGCCAAUUAGAUAAUAGAGUUUUUCUUGGCUUUUAAAAAUAGUCUAUGAUGAUACGAUAGAAACAAACAACAAUAAAUAAAGAUAGAUAGAUUUUUCCUCGAAGUCCUUUAAGCCGCAGAAACAGCUGCUUCGGUGUCCAGUUUAGCCCUUUUCGUCGGUUGUUCAACAUCUUCAGCGUCGGUGAUCUCCGAGUUUUCUUCAGACUCUGUCUCACCGUUUCCUUCCUUCUCAUCUACACUUGAGGCUUCACCUUCUUCCUGUUUCUUCACCUUCUCUAUCACAUCCAUAACUUCUCUGUUGACCUGUUUACACACAAUAACGUUAUGGCAAAUUUCACCAGACAAACUAUUUCUCAAUUUGCAUGCUCAUAAUGGUAAAUAUUAUGCUUAAAUUUUUUCUUUUGGAAACAGUAUCACUUUUCAAUAUAUCAACUGCAUGAGACCAAUGCAAGAAGAAAGGAUGAUGAUUUUCACCUGAACGUUCUGAAGAAAGUCAGAAAUGUCACGGGGGCAACAAGGGCACUUCAUGAUGUUUUUCAUUGCACGAAGCGUUCGCCCACCUCUGCUUCUUUCCACCAUCCGAGUCUGCCCAGCAAAUUUAUCUUCUAGACAUCCCUUGCAGAAGUUAUGUGCACAAGGCGUUGUCACCGGAAAGUUCAUCACUUGCAGACAUAUUUGGCAACUAAAUCCUGCAUCAACAACAGACACCCAACAACGGUUUUAGAUGCCACCAGUCAUUUCCAGAAAUUGAUAAUUAGUUGGACAGCUGAACCUUUCAGAAGUUGUUCUCUCAAGGUACUUGAGCGUGCCGCGUCCAUGGCUUCCUUCAUUAACUUCCUCUCCUCAGGAUCCAAAACAUUAACAGGCUUUUUGCUAGCAGGUGGAGGCUUCAUCCAUUUCCAACAACCCUCAG